rnacentral:rRNA from 1 species
CGGCACGGGUAAGUAACACGUAUCCAACCUGCCGUCUACUCUUGGCCAGCCUUCUGAAAGGAAGAUUAAUCCAGGAUGGCAUCAUGAGUUCACAUGUCCGCAUGAUUAAAGGUAUUUUCCGGUAGACGAUGGGGAUGCGUUCCAUUAGAUAGUAGGCGGGGUAACGGCCCACCUAGUCUUCGAUGGAUAGGGGUUCUGAGAGGAAGGUCCCCCACAUUGGAACUGAGACACGGUCCAA